rnacentral:lncRNA from 1 species
CUACUUUUUUAAUCUGAUUUAUUUCAAUUAAAAUCAGAUAUAAAUGGUAUAUGAUCAAUCUCUUUAAGCAUGUACAAGAGGCACCCUAAAAAUACAUGUCAGGUAGUUGGGGUGCCAAGAGUUGGCGCCCCACAAUAGGAUUUCUAGCCAAAUAAGAAAAGGCAUGGCCCCACCUCUCUCUCCUUCAUGCCAUGCCACAUAAGAGGGGACGGGCCCCUCAAGGAUUUGAUGCCCAGUUCCUACCA